AUUUAUAGCCAUAUCACCCUGCAGCCCAAGAUCGAUUACUUACUGAAGCUAAGCAGGCCCUAGCUUGGUUAGCACCUAGAUGGGAGACCAAAUGGGAAAACUAGGUUGCUGUUGGAC
ensembl:rRNA 5S_rRNA 5S ribosomal RNA